rnacentral:rRNA from 1 species
ACAGAACUGUGGGGACGCAUGUGGAGAGCACGAGCCGGGAAUGGAAAUACCGGUACAAGCGGAGAAGGAGUCUGGUUGGCAAAUCCGCCAGGCAAUCCGAAGACGUGAUGUGGAGCUAAUUAGAGUAGCGAAGCGUGUGAGCCAUGUGCCGAGAAAAGCCGCUAUUGUUUCAUGUGUGCCCGUACCGUAAACCGACACAGGUGGAUGAGGAGAGAAUCCUAAGGCCGGCGGAAGAAGCAUUGUAAAGGAACUCGGCAAAAUGACCCCGUAACUUCGGGAGAAGGGGUGCCUGCUAACGCAGGCCGCAGAGAAUAGGCUCAAGCAACUGUUUAGCAAAAACACAGGUCUAUGCGAAACCGAAAGGUGAAGUAUAUGGGCUGACGCCUGCCCGGUGCUGGAAGGUUAAGAGGAGAGGUUAGCGCAAGCGAAGCUUUGAACUUAAGCCCCAGUAAACGGCGGCCGUAACUAUAACGGUCCUAAGGUAGCGAAAUUCCUUGUCGGGUAAGUUCCGACCCGCACGAAAGGCGUAAUGAUUUGAGCACUGUCUCGACAAUGCAUCCGGUGAAAUUGAAGUACCAGUGAAGAUGCUGGUUACCCGCGCCAGGACGGAAAGACCCCAUGGAGCUUUACUCCAGUUUGGUACUGGGAUUCGGUACUGCAUGUACAGGAUAGGUGGGAGACUAAGAACUUGGGACGCCAGUUUCAAGGGAGUCGCUGUUGGGAUACCACCCUUGCAGUAUUGGAUUUCUAACCAGCCGCCGUGAUCCGGCGGUGGGACAAUGCCAGGCGGGGAGUUUGACUGGGGCGGUCGCCUCCGAAAGGGUAUCGGAGGCGCUCAAAGGUUCCCUCAGAAUGGUUGGAAACCAUUUGAAGAGUGCAAAGGCAGAAGGGAGCUUGACUGCGACACCGACGGGUGGAGCAGGUAGGAAACUAGGACUUAGUGAUCCGGUGGCAUAAAGUGGGAUUGCCAUCGCUCAACGGAUAAAAGCUACCCUGGGGAUAACAGGCUUAUCACUCCCAAGAGUUCACAUCGACGGAGUGGUUUGGCACCUCGAUGUCGGCUCAUCGCAUCCUGGGGCUGUAGCAGGUCCCAAGGGUUGGGCUGUUCGCCCAUUAAAGCGGUACGCGAGCUGGGUUCAGAACGUCGUGAGACAGUUCGGUCCCUAUCCGGCGCGGGCGGAGGAUAUUUGAGAGGAGCUGUCCUUAGUACGAGAGGACCGGGAUGGACGGACCACUGGUGUAUCUGCUGUCGACCAACGGCAUGGCAGAGUAGCCAAGUCCGGAAGGGAUAAACGCUGAAGGCAUCUAAGCGUGAAGCCCCCCUCAAGAUGAGAUAUCCCUCACAUAAGUGAGUAAGAUCCCUUGAAGACUACAAGGUAGAUAGGGCAGAGGUGGAAGCACGGUAACGUGUGGAGCUGACUGUUACUAAUCGAUCGAGGGCUUGACC